UACGUAGGGUGCAAGCGUUGUCCGGAAUUAUUGGGCGUAAAGAGCUCGUAGGCGGUUUGUCGCGUCGAAUGUGAAAACCCGGGGCUCAACCCCGGGCCUGCAUUCGAUACGGGCAGACUAGAGUUCGGUAGGGGAGUCUGGAAUUCCUGGUGUAGCGGUGAAAUGCGCAGGAUAUCAGGAGGAACACCGGUGGCGAAGGCGGGACUCUGGGCCGAUACUGACGCUGAGGAGCGAAAGCGUGGGAGCAAACAGG
rnacentral:rRNA from 1 species